rnacentral:tRNA from 2 species
GGGAACGUAGCUCAGUCGGUAGAGCAACUGACUUUUAAUCCGUAGGUCAUGGGUUCAAGUCCCAUCGUUCCCA